rnacentral:lncRNA from 1 species
GGCCAAGUAAAGAAUUCUACAUUCACAUUCAUACAUUGUUAUAUCAAAAAUUCAUAUAUACAUGUUUGUCUGUACUAAAAGUUGAUGUAGGCCAAGUAAAAAUUCAUUGUUUUUCAAAGUACUCAAAUAUUCUUUGUAAUAUUUUCUUGUUUUUUGUCACUCUGACAUCUCCUGUUUUAACUGACUUUUCUGACAGUAAUGCUAUUAACCCCAUUUUACCACCUCUAUCUAUAGACAUUUUCAAAUGGCAUAAUUUCAGAUUUGAUUUAGCUGCUUUCAGUGCCAUAGCUUUUCAAAUUACUUUUUCCUUUAUUACUUUGGAAUAUGUUUUCAAAUUGCACAACUGCAAAUGGUACUGGUCAGGAUAGUUUGGUGAAAAAGCUAAAUCAUCAAGGUAAUUGGAAAUAUUUCCCUUGUCAAUUAUUAAUUUGAGCAAUAAUCUUGCAUCAUGGACAGCAUUAUGUGACUCGUACUCUUGUCCUAGUAAGUUAUUAACUAAAAAAGACUGACUGUAUGAUGCUAAACCAGGAACAACAUGUUUAAACAAAUUCAAAGAAUCUAUAAAACAAGAUAUUUGUGAAGAAAAUUCAUUCC